rnacentral:rRNA from 1 species
GAACGCUGGCGGCGUGCCUAAUACAUGCAAGUCGAACGGGAAACUAGUUUUCGGAUUAGUGGAGAGUGGCGCACGGGUGAGUAACACAUGGCUGACCUGCCCUUCAGAGGGGGACAACCAGUGGAAACGCUGGCUAAUACCCCAUACGCUCGCGGGUUUUAGAACGCCGUGAGGAAAAGCUGCGGCGCUGAAGGAGGGGGCUGUGACCCAUCAGCUAGUUGGUAGGGUAAAGGCCUACCAAGGCGAGGACGGGUAGGGGGCCUGAGAGGGUGACCCCCCACACGGGUACUGAGACACGGACCCGACUCCUACGGGAGGCAGCAGUAAGGGAUAUUGCGCAAUGGACGAAAGUCUGACGCAGCAACGCCGCGUGCGGGAUGACGGCCUUCGGGUUGUAAACCGCUUUUCUGUGCGAAGAGGAAGGACGGUAGCGCAGGAAUAAGUCUCGGCUAACUACGUGCCAGCAGCCGCGGUAAAACGUAGGAGGCGAGCGUUAUCCGGAUUUACUGGGUGUAAAGCGCGUGCAGGCGGUGUCGUAAGUGGUGCGUGAAAGCGCUCGGCUCAACCGGGCGAGGACGUGCCAAACUGCGGUACUUGAGAUAGGUAGAGGCGUGUGGAAUUCCGGGUGUAGUGGUGAAAUGCGUAGAGAUCCGGAGGAACACCAGUGGCGAAGGCGACACGCUGGACCUAAACUGACGCUAAGACGCGAAAGCAUGGGGAGCAAACGGGAUUAGAAACCCCGGUAGUCCAUGCCGUAAACGA